GUUCACUUUGGCAGCACAUAUACUGAAAUUGGAAUGAUGCAGAGAAGAUUAGCACGGCCCCUGUGCAAGGAUGACACCCAAAUUCAGGAAAUGUUCCAUAUUUUU
rnacentral:snRNA from 2 species